rnacentral:rRNA from 1 species
GUGUCAGCCGCCGCGGUAAUACGUAGGUGGCAAGCGUUGUCCGGAAUUAUUGGGCGUAAAGCGCGCGCAGGCGGAUCUGUAAGUCUGUCUUAAAAGUUCGGGGCUCAACCCCGUGAGGGGAUAGAAACUGCAGAUCUUGAGUAUCGGAGAGGAAAGUGGAAUUCCUAGUGUAGCGGUGAAAUGCGUAGAGAUUAGGAAGAACACCAGUGGCGAAGGCGACUUUCUGGACGAACACUGACGCUGAGGCGCGAAAGCCAGGGGAGCGAACGGGAUUAGAUACCCCGGUAGUCCUGGCCGUAAACGAUGGGUACUAAGUGUAGGAGGUAUCGACCCCUUCUGUGCUGCAGUUAACGCAAUAAGUACCCCGCCUGGGGAGUACGACCGCAAGGUUGAAACUCAAAUGAAUUGGCGG